AACGAACGCUGGCGGCAGGCUUAACACAUGCAAGUCGAACGGGUGUAGCAAUACAUCAGUGGCAGACGGGUGAGUAACACGUGGGAACCUUCCUUAAGGUACGGGACAACUCAGGGAAACUUGAGCUAAUACCGUAUACGUCCGAGAGGAGAAAGAUUUAUCGCCUUUAGACGGGCCCGCGUCGGAUUAGCUAGUUGGUGGGGUAACGGCCUACCAAGGCGACGAUCCGUAGCUGAUCUGAGAGGAUGAUCAGCCACACUGGGACUGAGACACGGCCCAGACUCCUACGGGAGGCAGCAGUGGGGAAUCUUGGACAAUGGGCGCAAGCCUGAUCCAGCCAUGCCGCGUGAGUGAAGAAGGCCUUAGGGUUGUAAAGCUCUUUUACCAGGGACGAUAAUGACGGUACCUGGAGAAUAAGCCCCGGCAAACUUCGU
rnacentral:rRNA from 1 species